UCUAAAUAAUAUAUUAAUGUUAAUUUAGUGAGGGCAUGUCCUGUCACUGAGCUCAACAUUAAUAUAUUCUUU